AGAUUGAACGCUGGCGGCAGGCCUAACACAUGCAAGUCGAGCGGUAGAGAGGUGCUUGCACCUCUUGAGAGCGGCGGACGGGUGAGUAAAGCCUAGGAAUCUGCCUGGUAGGUGGGGGAUAACGCUCGGAAACGGACGCUAAUACCGCAUACGUCCUACGGGAGAAAGCGAGGGGACCUUCGGGCCUUGCGCUAUCAGAUGAGCCUAGGU
rnacentral:rRNA from 1 species